rnacentral:rRNA from 1 species
UACGGAGGAUCCAAGCGUUAUCCGGAUUUAUUGGGUUUAAAGGGUGCGUAGGCGGAUUGAUAAGUCAGAGGUGAAAUGUCCGAGCUCAACUCGGGAACUGCCUCUAAUACUGUUGAUCUAGAGAGUAGAUGCGGUAGGCGGAAUGUAUGGUGUAGCGGUGAAAUGCUUAGAGAUCAUACAGAACACCGAUUGCGAAGGCAGCUUACCAAUCUAUAUCUGACGUUGAGGCACGAAAGCGUGGGGAGCAAACAGG